rnacentral:lncRNA from 7 species
UUCCUCUAGCUCCCCUUAGAUACUGAAAGACCACUGUCAGGUCUCUCUGGAGCCUUCUCUUCUCCAGGAUAAAAAGCCUCAGCUCUUUCAGCCUGUCAACCUUUGCCACCUGGCCAGAAGAGAAGACACGUCCCCUCUGGGUCCCUUUCCUACAUGGAGCCAUGCAGGCCCGGCAGUGCUGGGGCUCUGGAGGUGCUGCUGAGGAUCAUUCAGGCCUGCAGGUACACAGCUGAACUCCUUCCAACUGUGGCUGUAAAUCUGGUGCUGUCCUACACUGCAUUCUUCAGUUCUUGUUUACUGAAAGAGCAUGGUUACUAUUUGGACUCUGAUCUUGCAAGCUGUAUGUUUUACCUGUGAAAAGUACUGCAGUGUUGACUAGUGUGCACAGGCAAGAAGCUCAUUUUACUCAUUACAAAAUCUGCCUUCAUAGAAAUCACAGUAUGUCCAAAUGCCCACGUUAUUAGCAGAAGAGGAUAUCAUGAUACAGAUUUCCCACCUGCUAACUGUUCUUUACUCCAAAAAGUCAAAGUAUGCACAACUUUCCUCGCCCUCCAUCUUGACGACCCACAGACACCGGCGUAGAAAUGAAAGGACGCCUCGAGCAGAAAAUCUGAGAGGCUGAUGCCUUUCCGUCGGUCCCGUUAGGUGGAGCUCUCAGACAAGGAGAAAUGACAUCCCACCAGGCACCCUGAGGAGUCGUUAGCACUGUAUUAUUCAGACCUGAAAACUGGAACUCCAGCAUCCCAGGAGGGUACCACUGACGUAAUGUAGCAUGACAAUACAUAACUCCCAUUGGCUUCCUGCGUUGGUGCUCACAAGUGUUCUACGCAGAAAGUCUUUUCUUCAGAACUGUGUUGUGCUGAGGACUGAAUUAAUCUGUUAUUUAAUGUGGCUACUGAGCUUUAUGUUCUGCAAAUUACCAUUACUUGAUAUUUCUUCUUGCUGUGAAUUUUUUUGUCGAGUUUGGACUUGGUGAUCCUUAUGGGUCCUUUCCAGUGUGGGUUAUUCUAUGAUUUUAUGAUUUCCAAACUGUAAAGAUUUAUACUUUCUCAUGUUGUUUGAUCGUUUGCUUUUAAUACAUCUCUUCAUCUGCUGAAUAAUGCAGGUAGAUUUUGGAUUUUCUCAUGACUUUGCCCCACCAAAGUAGCUAACUAGGGUGAAGUCCAUUAAUUGAUAUCACUCAAUUAAUUAUUCUGAGAACUCAGAACCUGGUUUCUGGCUCUGUCUUCUGAAAGGAAAAUCUGUGUUGUUUGUUUGAUUGCUCCUCAAGCUGCAUGUGCCUUCCCAGGCUUUGAAGCUAUGCCCAUCACUGCAGAACAUGAGAUGACUGAUAACGCCCUUCUCAUUCACAGAACAGACACUGUUCAGCAACAACAUGUUUUGGCCUAAAAAGUGGUGUUUGAGACCUGAUACGUAAUCUAUGAAUUCGUCCAAUCUGGUCAGUGCCCCUUGCUUUGGUGUUCUUAAGAUAUAGAUGCACAUCCACUCAGAAAAUCACUGCUGCCCCAGGCAGUGGCCAGGCCAUCUCUAUCAGCUCUUGGUCACUGGGAACGUUUCAAAGUUGCUCUGGAAACAGAAGGCUCUGAAACUACACAGUGUUAUUCCCAUGAACAACGCACUGCCCUACAGUUUGCUCUGUUCACAGCCAGCUACUCUUCUAUUAGACUCUUUUUUUUUAUUAUUAUUAUUUGCCCACAAAUUUUGUUAUACUUUCUUGUAAGCAGUCAAAAUUCAAGUUUUGUUGAAAUCAGC